UAGAGAGUUACCAUGAGACCCAGAAAUUUCACUCCUUAAUAUAUGCCUAGGAUAAAUUAAAUGUAUGUCCACACAAAAGCUUGGACCUGCAUAUUCUCAUGAGCAUUAUUCACAAGAGCUAAAAAGUGGAAAGUAUUGAAAUAGCCAUCAAGUGACGAUAAAUAAAUGAUAAUAGAUAAUGAAAUGUGGUAUAUUCAUUCCACAGAGUAUUAUUCUGCAGUAAAAAGAAGCUCCCCUCCCUCUUCACAGGUAACUUGCUGGGUCCCUGUACUCCUCCCAGUGACAGGUGAUGCUGCUCCUGACUACACAUGCCAUGUGCACAGUUCCUUAUUGUUUCUAUAGCUUUCCUUGGCUGUGCACUGUCAUGGCUCCAAUACACCUCUGUUUCUUCACAGAAAGCACAAGAAAGGUCACCUCCAUCUGCCCCUUUGCCCUGCCAUCCUCAGGCCACAGACACUAGUCUUAGGUCAGGUCCCAGCCUCCCUGAGGGGUCUUGACACGAGCGGGCAGCCAACCCCAAGCCGUGACUGUGGUUCUCACUUUGGAAUUUCAUCAAACUGCCAGAGAUACAGAAACUUGGGGUCAGGUCCAGCAGUGGCAGCUGCCCCUCCCAGGGACAGCGUGUUGCUCCCACCCACCACCUGCCAGGCCCGCUGUCUCCUCUGCCUCACUGACCACCUGCUGAGACCCCCGGUCCUGAGCUAGCACCCCAUGCAUCCGGGAGUCUUGCCUUGUAGUCUGACCUUGAACUUGUGUGGAGAGGCAGACAGGUGGUUUUGCUUUUGAAAGUUUUGUGUGAGCAAAUAUUAGCAAAUGUGAUCUAAAAUUGUGCUGUUUACAUAGGUAUAAGGCAAGAAGACUUUCUUUUGUUUCCACUAUUGUUUUGAAAGAAUUGAAAUUCGAAGCUAUUUGUAAAGAUGUACAUUGUUUUUAACCAAAUAUAUUAUUAUUUAUUUCUGCUGGAUAUAUCUAAAGCUUUUAAGGACUACAUAUAAACAUACGUAUGAAAGAAGGAGAUAUGUGAAUCUCCUUUAUGUAUGAAAGAAGGAGAUAUGUGAAUCUGAAAUUGGUUACAGUUUUUUGGAAAACACUAACAUUUCCACUGCUGAGACCUACAAUGAAUCCAGACAGUGGGUGCUGAAUCAGAUUAAUGAUACUGAAACUAAAUGAUAUUCUUUGAGGCAUACACCAGGUGACCAAACACAGAUUUAUCUUAUUUUACGUUUAGAUUGAGGGGUUGGUGUAUUGGUGUGUUCUCACACUGCUAUACUAAUAAAGAAGACAGAAGAAUCAAAUAGACGCAAUAAAAAAUGAUAAAGGGGAUAUCAACACCGAU
rnacentral:lncRNA from 1 species